rnacentral:rRNA from 1 species
AUUGAACGCUGGCGGCAGGCCUAACACAUGCAAGUCGGGCGCGCGGCAGACGGGUGAGAACUGUAUGGGGCUCUGCCUGAUGGAGGGGGAUAACCACUGGAAACGGUAGCUAAUACCGCAACCCAUCAGAUGAACCCAUAUGGGAUUAUCUUGUAGGUGGGGUAACGGCUCACCUAGGCGACGAUCCCUAGCUGGUCUGAGAGGAUGAUAAGCCACACUGGGACUGAGACACGGCCCAGACUCCUACGGGAGGCAGCAGUGGGGAAUAUUGCACAAUGGGCGCAAGCCUGAUGCAGCCAUGCCGCGUGUAUGAAGAAGGCCUUCGGGUUGUAAAGUACGUUCAGUCGGGAGGCGUUACCGACAGAAGAAGCACCGGCUAACUCCGUGCCAGCCGCCGCGGUAAUAC